CCUAGAUCUCCGGAGCCCUCCCAAAUCCUCUUCUCCUCAGGCACACAACGCCUCGGCCGAUGUUCCUCUCCUCGACCGCCGCAGAUGUUCCUCUCCUCCGCCGCCACCUACGUUCAUCUCCGCGACCGCCUCCCUCCAGCCACUGCCACCCUGCGUUGCAUCGCUGGCCCUUGAAUCCCGCCGCACACUUCAUCUCGCUGCUCCACUGGUGCCUUGCGUCUGCCCGCCGCUCCCCAUCCACCUGAAGGCGGCCACAACUGACGAGCCCUCAACUUGCAAUGCCGCCGCUGCUCCCCAUCCACCUGAAGGCGGCCACCGCUCACGAGCCCUCUUCUCUGAAGGCCACCGCUGCUCCCCAUGGACCUGAAACCCGCGAGCGCUCACGACCCUCCCCUCUUAAGCCCGAUGCCGCUCACAUCUGUGCUUCUCCCCCGACCAACUAGAUCCCGACCUCCCCACUAGCGAGCUCCGUCGCCCCUCUGCUAUAUUGCUGCUCCUACCUGCUCCAGCCCGCCCCCUCGACCAGCAAGCUCCACCACCGGCCGCUGCUCCUCUAUCGUUCUGCUACGUACUCGGUACUCCGGCCUGCUCCACCGAUUAAUUUUGUGAAGCCACAGUGAGCUAGGGGUUGCACUGCAGGAGCAUAGCCUGUACAAGUACUGAACAUUGAAGAUUGCAUUGCAGCUCAUCAGUAUGCCUUCCUUGCAAUCUUUGAAGCAUAUUAAAUUCUGAAAUGUUAUUUUUUUCUAUACAAGUUUGUUUGUGCCAAUUACUUGUUAAUUGAUGUGUUGAGGGGUUCUCAUAUACUUCCUCAGCAACAUGGGAAGCUGAAGAUGUUAGUGGAUUGUGUUGGGCAUUGUAGCUUCUAUAGCUUGGCCACACUUAAGUGUACAGGCUAGACUCUGAUUAUUUCCUUGCAUGUUUGGGUACUGAUACACACAUGAUUCAUUGCCUCAGUAUUGUUCAUCCUCUUUAUUUCAGAUUGUGAAUGAAGAAAGGGCAACAAAGAUAUCUAAGGUUCAGCGUGGUCAGCAAAAUGAUAACUGAAGAAUGUUGACUCUGCUGUUGGUACUUGGACACUAAAUAGUUGUUUGCUUUUGGGAACGUGGUGGUACUUGGCAAUAUGCAAAAUGUAUUAUCUUAUUUUUUUAAUUCUAUAUGGUGUCAAUCAGAGUUGGAUUUGUGAGGUAGUUCAUAAAUAUAUGAACUUUAUCAGAUUUAUAAAUGAUGGUCGAAUUUGGUA